AGACCUAUCUGGGGUUUGAUCGAUGCCACUCCUGGUUUCAGGAGCACCCUUCAUAAAAACCUAGAAAUUCAGUAUUAUAAAGUUUAAUAAAAAACAACUUUUAACAAUGGAUCUCUUGGUUCUCGCAUCGAUGAAGAACGUAGCAAAGUGCGAUAACUAGUGUGAAUUGCAUAUUCAGUGAAUCAUCGAGUCUUUGAACGCAGCUUGCACUCUAUGGUUUUUCUAUAGAGUACGCCUGCUUCAGUAUCAUCACAAACCCACACAUAACAUUUGUUUAUGUGGUAAUGGGUCGCAUCGCUGUUUUAUUACAGUGAGCACCUAAAAUGUGUGUGAUUUUCUGUCUGGCUUGCUAGGCAGGAAUAUUACGCUGGUCUCAGGAUCUUUUUCUUUGGUUCGCCCAGGAAGUAAAGUACAAGAGUAUAAUCCAGCAACUUUCAAACUAUGAUCUGAAGUCAGGUGGGAUUACCCGCUGAACUUAAGCAUAUCAAUAAGCGGAGGAA
rnacentral:rRNA from 1 species